rnacentral:rRNA from 1 species
AGUUGUAUCCUGGCUCAGGAUGAACGCUGGCGGUAUGCUUAACACAUGCAAGUCGAACGGGCUCUUAGGAGCUAGUGGCGGACGGGUGAGUAACGCGUGAGAAUCUGGCUUCAGGUCGGGGACAACCACUGGAAACGGUGGCUAAUACCGGAUGUGCCGCAAGGUAAAAGGCUUGCCGCCUGGAGAUGAGCUCGCGUCUGAUUAGCUAGUAGGUGGGGUAAAAGCCUACCUAGGCGACGAUCAGUAGCUGGUCUGAGAGGAUGAUCAGCCACACUGGGACUGAGACACGGCCCAGACUCCUACGGGAGGCAGCAGUGGGGAAUUUUCCGCAAUGGGCGAAAGCCUGACGGAGCAAUACCGCGUGAGGGAGGAAGGCUCUUGGGUUGUAAACCUCUUUUCUCAGGGAAGAACACAAUGACGGUACCUGAGGAAUAAGCAUCGGCUAACUCCGUGCCAGCAGCCGCGGUAAUACGGAGGAUGCAAGCGUUAUCCGGAAUGAUUGGGCGUAAAGCGUCCGCAGGUGGCUGUGUAAGUCUGCUGUUAAAGAGUGAGGCUCAACCUCAUAAGAGCAGUGGAAACUACACGGCUAGAGUGCGUUCGGGGUAGAGGGAAUUCCUGGUGUAGCGGUGAAAUGCGUAGAUAUCAGGAAGAACACCGGUGGCGAAAGCGCUCUGCUAGGCCGCAACUGACACUGAGGGACGAAAGCUAGGGGAGCGAAUGGGAUUAGAUACCCCAGUAGUCCUAGCCGUAAACGAUGGAUACUANGCGUGGCUUGUAUCGACCCGAGCCCGUGCCGUAGCUAACGCGUUUAAGUAUCCCGCCUGGGGAGUACNCACNCAAGUGUGAAACUCAAAGGAAUUGACNGGGGG